AGGACGAACGCUGGCGGCGUGCUUAACACAUGCAAGUCGAGCGGAAAGGCCCUUCGGGGUACUCGAGCGGCGAACGGGUGAGUAACACGUGAGCAACCUGCCCCUGGCUCUGGGAUAGCUCCGGGAAACCGGGAUUAAUACCGGACAUGACCUGCUGCGGCAUCGCGGCGGGUGGAAAGUUUUUCGGCCAGGGAUGGGCUCGCGGCCUAUCAGCUUGUUGGCAGGGUAAUGGCCUACCAAGGCGACGACGGGUAGCCGGCCUGAGAGGGCGACCGGCCACACUGGGACUGAGACACGGCCCAGACUCCUACGGGAGGCAGCAGUGGGGAAUAUUGCGCAAUGGGCGGAAGCCUGACGCAGCGACGCCGCGUGCGGGAUGAAGGCCUUCGGGUUGUAAACCGCUUUCAGCAGGGACGAAUUCAGACGGUACCUGCAGAAGAAGCGCCGGCUAACUACGUGCCAGCAGCCGC
rnacentral:rRNA from 1 species